GAGGAAUCAGAAAGCACGCCUGUGACACCCGGAAUCUCUACCUCAGAGGGCCCAACGCCAGGCCCGUCUGAACCAGGAAGCAGCGUGACCUCAACCCUUAGC